GGGGCAUGCAUGGGCGAAGCCUGAUGCAGCGACGCCGCGUGAGGGAUGACGGCCUUCGGGUUGUAAACCUCUUUCGACAGGGACGAAGCGCAAGUGACGGUACCUGUAGAAGAAGCACCGGCCAACUACGUGCCAGCAGCCGCGGUAAUAA
rnacentral:rRNA from 1 species